CGGACGGACCGUCAGUGCCGGGCGGCCGCGGCUCCGCCGGCUGCUUCCGGGGCUCUCCGGGUUGGCCCGCCCGCCUCCCCGCCGGCACGGGUGACAGCGAGCCGGCGCGACAUCCCGCUGCAGGAGACACCCGUACCCCGGAGCACAGGAUAGCCCUCCCUCCGUCCCUGCUCCCGCUGCACGGGACACCCGUGUUCCCGGUACAAGGAAACGGCCUCUCCUCAGCGCACAGGACGCCCAUGUCCCCGGCACACGGCACCUGUCAGAUUUGGGCUACAGAAGAGCGAGGAGAUGGCCAUGGCUUGGGGUGAGCCCAGCACUGCCCAUAGCCCUGCAGCCGGGGCUCCCCUUGGGCACCUGGAGUCCAUUGGCCCUAAAAUGCAUGUGUACAGCCCCCCCUGUGAAGCUGCUCGGAGAGGCAGGAAGGGAGACCACAUCAUGCUACCAACUGUCCUGAUGACUCCCAUGAGUAUGAAGCUGGCAAGGAACAGCCAUCCCCUUUGUUGUGCUUCUUCUGAACCACCAUUCAGCCAGGGAAACAAUGCCUAAACUGUGCUUGGUUUGCUUUGUAGCUUCUUCCUUGCCACGUGAUGCUCACAGCAAACCCUGGGGAUCUGUGUGAGGGAGUGCAGGCAGGUGGGGGAGCCGGGCAGGAUACUGUGCUCCACUGUCACACUUAAAAACUCUUGCUGACCACAUCUGAGGGAAGAGAAUAAAAGAAGGAUAACAUCCACUGAUCUGCUUUGCUGGAGAGAAUUACGUCCAGUGUUUGUCAGCACAAUUCGUCAUCCGAGGAUCCCCGCAGAUCCACCACAGCUCUUGGCGUCUUGGAUGUCAGCCAUGGCACAGAAAAUCCUCUUUCACUGCUUGUUUCCGAGCCCAGGUGAAAACCCAUUAAAGGCAGCCGCUUCACCACUCCCUGCUCCCACCAAGGCCCUCACUGACCUGUCACUUGUGUCCUCUCACUGCAGCCAUGGGAUAAUUUGUACCAAAGUGCAGGACUGAAAGAAAUGGUUUAAAAAUA